GGGACGGCGGGAGGGACAUUA
rnacentral:rRNA from 1 species